AGUGAACGCUGGCGGUAGGCCUAACACAUGCCAGUCGAACGGCAGCACAGUAAGAGCUUGCUCUUACGGGUGGCGAGUGGCGGACGGGUGAGGAAUACAUCGGAAUCUACUUUUUCGUGGGGGUUAACGUAGGGAAACUUACGCUAAUACCGCAUACGACCUACGGGUGAAAGCAGGGGAACUUCGGACCUUGCGCGAUUGAAUGAGCCGAUGUCGGAUUAGCUAGUUGGCGGGGUAAAGGCCCACCAAGGCGACGAUCCGUAGCUGGUCUGAGAGGAUGAUCACCCACACUAGAACUGGGACACGGACCAGACGCCUACGGGAGGCAGCAGUGUGGAAUAUUGGACAAUGGGCGCAAGCCUGAUCCAGCCAUACCGCGUGGGUGAAGAAGGCCUUCGGGUUGUAAAGCCCUUUUGUUGGGAAAGAAAAGCAGCAGGUUAAUACCCCGCUGUUCUGACGGUACCCAAAGAAUAAGCACCGGCUAACUACGUG
rnacentral:rRNA from 1 species